rnacentral:misc_RNA from 1 species
UCGAAACCUGCCUAGCAGAACGACCCGAGAACAUGUUUCAACGCUGGGGGGCGGAGGGUCUUGCGGCUCUGCGCCCCCUUAUCCUAGGAGGCAAGUGUCUUGCGUGUUGCAUUUCGGUGCUUGCGCUUGAUCGACCCUCCCAGGCGUACCGAACACCGGCGUGAAUUGCGCCAAGGAACUUGAAUGAAAGAGCGUUCCCCCGCCGUCCCGGAGACGGUGCUCGUGCGGGUGGUUUCGUCAUCUUCAAUAUGUC